GCAAGUCGAGCGGUAAGGCCCCUUCGGGGGUACACGAGCGGCGAACGGGUGAGUAACGCGUGGGUAACCUACCCAGAAGUGGGGGAUAGCCCCGGGAAACCGGGGAUAAUACCGCAUACGCCACAUUUGACUCGAGUCGAUUGUGAGAAAGGCGGGGAUCCUUCGGGACCUGUCGCUUCUGGAUGGGCCCGCGUCCGAUUAGCUUGUUGGUGGGGUAAUGGCCCACCAAGGCUUCGAUCGGUAGCCGGCCUGAGAGGGUGAACGGCCACAUUGGGACUGAGACACGGCCCAGACUCCUACGGGAGGCAGCAGUGGGGAAUUUUGGGCAAUGGGCGCAAGCCUGACCCAGCGACGCCGCGUGGAGGAUGAAGGCCUUCGGGUUGUAAACUCCUGUCAGGUGGGAAGAAAUACCCGCCGGUGAAUAGCCGGUGGGAGUUGACGGUACCACCAAAGGAAGCCCCGGCUAACUCCGUGCCAGCAGCCGCGGUAAUACGGAGGGGGCAAGCGUUAUUCGGAUUUACUGGGCGUAAAGCGCACGUAGGCGGCAUGGCAAGUCGCAGGUGAAAGCCCUCGGCUCAACCGAGGAAUUGCCUGCGAAACUGCUUUGCUUGAGUCCGGGAGGGGGGAGCGGAAUUCCCAGUGUAGCGGUGAAAUGCGUAGAUACUGGGAGGAACACCGGUGGCGAAGGCGGCUCCCUGGACCGGUACUGACGCUGAGGUGCGAAAGCGUGGGUAGCAAACAGGAUUAGAUACCCUGGUAGUCC
rnacentral:rRNA from 1 species